rnacentral:tRNA from 2 species
GCUGGCAUAGCUCAAUUGGUAGAGCAACUGACUUGUAAUCAGUAGGUUGAGGGUUCAAUUCCUUUUGCCAGCUCCA